rnacentral:lncRNA from 1 species
UUUUACUUUCUAUUGAUUUUGUUUUUUGGCCAUUUUAUUUUUGUACUGGUCCCACUAGUCAGAUUGGUCCCACAUGUCAUUCUGACCUCAAAAUUCGAAUCCACACCAUAAAUUUUGUAUUUUGUCAAACAAUUCCAGCCUCUUUUAUUUUCAAAUCACAUACAUAAUCACUAUUAUAAACAAAACGGAACAAUUGUAAUUCAGAAAUAUACAAUAUUUCAUUUAGAAAAUAUUUCAUUUAGAAACAGAGAGAAGAUAUAUGAAAUUCGAGAGUUUACAUCAUGCACAUAACCCAACUAUCAAUACAUAACUUUUUAUACAAAAAUAUGUUAUCCCUUCUUUGAAUAUCUUCAGCCUGACUUCACUUGUAUAAAAGGGAGAACACUCAUCUUGAAGUUAGGCAAAAUAUCUGCAAAUAUAUAUCAUCAAUAAUUAAACAUGACAUGAGUUGAAAAGUGCGGCAUACAUAUCAAACGAAUGUUCAGAAUACCAAAUAUCACGGCCUCACUAUUAACCACAACAAACAGUUUAGCAAAGAAAAUAUACAGCAUGGAAACAUGCAUAUUAGAUCUUGGAGGAUGGGGGCAGGGCUAAACAAUAUAACAACAAUUUCACAACAAUCUCCAGAAAUAGUAUACCAAGGAGAGUUGGACUUGCAGGGCAAGAAAACUUAUGCAUCCCUUUCACUAGCCCUCCCCCCUUUGCAAGAACAAUAAGAAACCAGAAUAAGAAAGGAGCAUGGGGUCGUUGGAUGAACAGACUUGAUUUUCCAGUAGAUUUACAAUUCAUUAGCAAUAGAUUUACAGUGAAUUAGUAGAAGAUUUACAGUAAUUAUGUUCAUAUAGUAAAACAAACUAUAAAUUCCAAUGGAAACCACUUAAAAUUACACUGUAAAACAGAUUUGCAGUAGAUUUACAGUGAUUUUGCAGUAGAUUUACAGUGAAUUAUUAUAAGGUUUACAGUAAUUAUGUUCACAGUAAAAUAAACAAUAAAUUUCAGUGAAACCCACUUAAAAUUACACUGUAAAACAGAUUUACAGUGAUUUUGCAGUAGAUUUACAAUUCAUUAGCAAUAGAUUUACAAUGAAGAGGAUUACCAGAAGAUUUACCGUAAUUAUGUUGAUAGUAAAACAAACAAUAAGUUCCAGUGAAAACCACUUAAAAUUGCACUGUAAAAUAGGGCAAUUAGUGUGAGUUACAGUGUAAGUACAAUGGCAGUGAAACUUACAUGGAAUAAAUUCCAGAAUGAAAAAUACACUAAAAGUUUGAUUGGAAUUUUCAAAAUACACUAGAGUGAUAUUUCAGUUAAAAAAACCCCUUCCAUGUCCAAUCUACAGAGACCAAAUGUACUGCAAUUGGAGUGAGUUUACAGUGUACAUACAUUGUAAAAAGAACUGCAAGUACACUCACAUUACACUGUAAUUUACAUAUGAUAUAUUACAAAAUGGAAAUUACACUACAAUUUGGACUGGAAUUUUAAGGACACCGCACUGUAAUUCAGAUCUUUGUUGACACUGUACAUAGGUCAAAGAAACACUGAAAGUAAAGCAAAAAACUGUAGCUUUGCUUAAGAAUGAUACUGAGUGCUAGAUACAUCGUCAACAUGCUAUAUACUGGCUUGUGCUGCAUGUUGCUGCUGCCGUGCAGCAAACAAGCGACCGACUGUCAAGAGAUAGCAAGUCCGGCCUCUAGCAAGAUCAUAUAUUUGUGAACAAUUCAAAAAAAAGGUGUAAGAGCUAGAGAACCCAGAGCAAAUCGCGUACAGACCCAUCAACGCGUACGCAUCUAGCAGUUCAUGGCACAUACUAAACCGGAUCCACGAGCACUUUAGCAUGCUUCUGACUGGAUUUGUUAUAACUAAAACCCUACUCAUAAUAUUUGAGCAUAUUGAGUUACUGAAAACUAAUUAUCACGGCAAAAUAUAUAAAAGGACCGAACCAGAUACAACAAAACUGGCACAACAUGCGUAAAAUCCUAGAAUCCAAACAGGUAAGACAAGCACAUUGCAAGCUUCAUCAUAUCAGCAUUUUAGCAUGCUUCAGACUGCAUUCGUUAUAACAAAAAUUCUACUCAUAAGACUGGAACAAAGUGACUGCACAGGCCAUACCUUAAUGCCAACUUGUACUUUGCUAUCCCCAAUGGUUCUUCCCUCUCCAACAGCAACCACCUCGCCACUCUGAUUAUCAGUGGGGCAAAUACAGAGUAGCACAGAUGCAUCACAGUUUUGUGAUUAGGAGACCCCACACACGGAUUAAGAACUAAAAAGGCAUGAAACUUCAUCAAAGCACACAUUACCCAUCGUCAAAACUAGUAAAACGAAAUUCAAAAAAUGGUGAGUGAGCCAGCCUCACCAUGCGGGGGCGUUUGCCAGUAACUCACGUUGCUGCUCACAGAUGCAGCGACUAGUUUUUAUACUGGCAGGGGUGAACCUAAUCACAACACUGGGCGUGUGGUCUCACAGAUGCAUGCACUUGUAGACACUACACAUAGCUGCGUGUUGUAUUACCCAACCCAUCAGGCAAAGCAUAAUCAAGUUAUCUGAAUUUUAAAAUUCAGUAAACAGGGAACCAAUUUUUGCAAUGGCCAUUCUAAUUCCCAAAAUAUCUAAGGUAGGUUAUUUAACAUUAUAUAUACCAAUCUGUAUGCAUGUUGAUACCGUAAAAAAUUCAAGAUGAAGUAUCAUAUACCUAGGAAGUUCAGAAUUGAAUAGCAUAGUGCCAAAAAAUUGUCCUGCAUGCCAGAAACACAAGACACACCAAUAGAACAGGAGCUUCCAUCAGUAACCACUCCAUCCACACUUCGAUCCCAGAGGUUUAAUGAUAACCAUCCUAAACCAAGCAGCCGCAGCAACCACCGGCGC